rnacentral:lncRNA from 1 species
GCUCAUUUAUUUAUUUAUUAAUUAAAUUAACAUUAAAAAAAUAUGUAUUCACUUUUAAAUAAAAUAUUUAAAUUAUUAAAAGCAUAAAUUUAUCGUAUAACAUUCAAUAGGCAUUUCCUAUACAAUGUUACUAAAUAAUACUCACUAAACAUAUUUAAAAUAUAAUUUUUAUCUAUUGUUUACAAACACUUAAGACAUUCUAUAAUUACACAUUCACUCAAGCCCCCUUCUUUAAAUGCACAUUUAAAAGACAAAUACGUUUUGAAAUGUAGCUUAACAUUUUGCUAAUCAAGAAUAGUUCACCUUUAUUAAAGGUAAAGGCAAGAGCAUAUGCAUAGCCAACGAAGUGGUUCAUUCCAUGAGUAACUCUAGGAAAAUAUCUCUCAUAAUCCUCAAACUCGAAAUGGAAAACAUCUUUGAUUUGAUAUCUCGGUCUACCAUUAUGCACAUAUUACACAAAAAGAACUUUUCUCCCCAAUUUAUUGACUGGAUCAUAGCCUCUCCCCUAACCUUCUCGUCCUUAAUCAAUAAUGCACAAUCUACUUGGUUCAAAAGUGAGAGGAAUUACGUGUUCAUCAUUGUUCAACAAAUUAUAUCCACUCUAGUAUCUAAUGUUGUGCAUAGAGGCAAAGAUCAUCCCUUUCAACCUCAAAGGCAUCAAAAUUUUUCAUCUUAUAUAUUUACGGACCAUCUACUUUUUGCCUUUAGAGGAAAUCCCAAAUUUUGCUCCCAUGUCAUGAAAUUUUUUUGUAUUUUGAAAACCUUACCAAUCUCAAAGUCAUCCUGAGUAAAUCCAAUAUAUAUUUCUCGAACACUACUAUCCUCCUUCGUCCAAAUAUAGCAUCUGCUCUACCUUUGGUAUUAGUGAGGGAAAUUACUCUAUCAAGUACCUCGAAACCUUUCUUUCCCUUGAUAGACUAGGAGUCCAAUUUCAACACUCUAAUGGAUAAAAUUAUGAUAAGAAUUCAAGGUUAGUAUAGAGAUCUCUUGUCCUAAGUUGGCAAAACAAUAUUUAUAAAUUUUACCAUCAAGUCUUUAUCUAACCACAGGUCUUCGAAAGAAUUCCAAAUAGAAUCUCUUCCUUCACCAAGGAAUUUCUACAGAAUGAUAAUCUUAAUCACUAUAAUAUGCAUCUUAUACAUUGGAAAAAUCUGACUAAACGUAAAGAUUAUAGAAAAUUGAGCACCAAAGAUCUUUUCCUAGCCAAAAAUCCAUCUGUGCCUAAAAAUUAAUACUCAUUCUCAACAAUGAUGACUAUCUAUGAGUAUAAAUCUUCUCUAAAUAUGAUCUAUUCAUUCUCAACAAUGAUGACUAUGAGUAAAAAUCUUCUCUAAAUAUGGUCCCAUGUAUUCUUGGGGAAUGAGACUCCGAAAAACAUAUCCAAGACUUUUUAUGCAAUCUUCAAUUGAUUCCACCUACAUUAAUGUUAGUAUCAUGGACUAUUUCCCUCUAGUGUCUAAUCUAAAUUACUCCAAUUUUUUGUCACCUUACCUUGUUGCAUGGCUAACUGAUGGACAAAUCCUACAGUAUCCAUCUCUCUCAAAUGCCCAAUGAUGAGAUAUGAGUACUCUCAACUCAUCUAGAAGCACCUAGGUGAGAAAUGCCCAUAUCCGCUUAAGUAGAGGACCGGAAGAGAAUUGGUCCGCUUAAGUAGCACAUAACAUUAAAAUUUUCUUAUGGAAGUUUCAUUGGUAUUGUCUCUCCACUUCUUUAUGAUUGUCCAACAUCUUACAUUGCCAAAUCAAUCAUUGUUUUCUUUGCAAAUGGAUUCUAAUUCCCUUCACUCACUACAUCUUCUCUUGUCACAUUGUCUGAUCUUUCUAGGACCUGCUCCAGUCUCUAUGAUCUGAUUCCCUUAACUACAUCUUGAAGCUCUCUUAUAGCAUCAAGGGAUUUGAUGCUUGGCGCUAGGGAGCCUACUUGGAGGAACGUAUUGAUCUCGACAAACCCUCAUUUGCUGCAUCACUACCCUACUUUUUUGUUCUUAUGGAAUGGUAAGAACAAUGCCCGGCAUUAGCUUUACUCUCUUGAGAGCACUCUUAAGAGAGAUAAUAAGAAAACCACCCAUCCACCCGAGGUUUCACUUCAACUCUAGUUUUUGUAAGAUGUAGCUAUGUCCCUUUGUAUGACCUCUCUUGCUGUUUCGCAACCUCACCCAUGUUGGCUCAUGUUGUGCUCAAAAGACUUGAUAGUAGCAAAGAUAAAAGACUCUCAACUAUUUGCACUAAAAUUGACGCCCUUCAGUUAUUUUUUUCUUCUUGUUUAUUUUUCAUUUUAAUGUAACAAAUUUUGUUCAAUGCAAUUCUACUAUUCCACUAAAACCUACUAAAUCUUAACCAUCAGAACCAAUUUAUCAUUUUUUUCCGACCUCAAGUCUUUCACCGAUAUGGUUUGCAUUACAUGUCACAAUUUUAUAUCAUCAAAACUAUAUUCAAGAUAUGAACCUUUGGGAGUAUUCCCCCGUAGCACCUUUCUAGUUUUUAUAAUAGAAAAGCCUCUUUUUUUAGUCCAUAACGAGCAUUUCAGCUCUGGGUACGUUUCCGUCCACUCCCCGAAAGCAAGAGAUCAAAACCGCAAAACAUAAACCGUAAGGUUGCUACAAGAAAAUCUCGAGAAAUUGCUGAAAUGAAUACCACCAGUGCACCUUCACAGAAGUUGAUACUUGUUCGUGAAGGGAUUUCAAGCACUCAGUAGCAAAUGGUUGCUUUAGCUUAUGAUUUUGUUAAGCGCUGACGUACUCAGAUCGAAUCAGCGCUGGACCGUCAAUAAGCAUAUAAGAUCAAUUGAGUUGCCAUCACAACUAUUUGAUCCAUUAGAACCAGAGGAAAGCGAUUUCCUACCACGGAUCCCACAUGAUAACGUGGAAACUAUAAUCGUCAGAAGGAAAUGAUCACAAAAAUUUACUCAUGUAGAUCCCCAGUUUUAAGGACGAAAUUAAAAUCCUAACCUAAAGAUUCAGAACGAAAACCAAGUAAAUACACCGAUUGGAAGAAUCGUUUUUAUCUUACUUGCAAACACCGAAAACAAAGAAAGUCAUCCGAAAUCGUAAAAAAAACAAAAGGGUAAAGAAAGCGAGAGGAAGGCAUCGAUCUAUGAGCGUCGAAGCCUGCUUACCCUAAUGUGGAUCGAAGAGGCAGGUUGUCUCCACGGAAGGAGAGUCCAGCCGACUGGAGAUGAAGUGGUGCGCAGAAUAACGAGAGGAGGGGGUUUUAAAAG